rnacentral:rRNA from 1 species
AUUGAACGCUGGCGGCAGGCCUAACACAUGCAAGUCGAACGGUAACAGGAAGAUGCUUGCUUCUUUGCUGACGAGUGGCGGACGGGUGAGUAAUGUCUGGGAAACUGCCUGAUGGAGGGGGAUAACUACUGGAAACGGUAGCUAAUACCGCAUAACGUCGCAAGACCAAAGAGGGGGACCUUCGGGCCUCUUGCCAUCGGAUGUGCCCAGAUGGGAUUAGCUAGUAGGUGGGGUAACGGCUCACCUAGGCGACGAUCCCUAGCUGGUCUGAGAGGAUGACCAGCCACACUGGAACUGAGACACGGUCCAGACUCCUACGGGAGGCAGCAGUGGGGAAUAUUGCACAAUGGGCGCAAGCCUGAUGCAGCCAUGCCGCGUGUAUGAAGAAGGCCUUCGGGUUGUAAAGUACUUUCAGCGGGGAGGAAGGGAGUAAAGUUAAUACCUUUGCUCAUUGACGUUACCCGCAGAAGAAGCACCGGCUAACUCCGUG